rnacentral:rRNA from 1 species
UAGAUACCCUGGUAGUCCACGCUGUAAACGAUGAGUACUAGGUGUCGGGGGUUACCCCCUGCGGUGCCGCAGCUAACGCAUUAAGUACUCCGCCUGGGAAGUACGCUCGCAAGGGUGAAACUCAAAGGAAUUGACGGGGACCCGCACAAGUAGCGGAGCAUGUGGUUUAAUUCGAAGCAACGCGAAGAACCUUACCUAAGCUUGACAUCCCAAUGACAUCUCCUUAAUCGG